rnacentral:rRNA from 1 species
AGCGAACGCUGGCGGCAGGCCUAACACAUGCAAGUCGAGCGCCCCGCAAGGGGAGCGGCAGACGGGAGAGUAACACGUGGGAACGUGCCUUUUGGUUCGGAACAACCCAGGGAAACUUGGGCUAAUACCGGGAUAAGCCCUUACGGGGAAAGAUUUAUCGCCAAAAGAUCGGCCCGCGUCUGAUUAGCUAGUUGGUGAGGUAACGGCUCACCAAGGCGACGAUCAGUAGCUGGUCUGAGAGGAUGAUCAGCCUCAUUGGGACUGAGACACGGCCCAAACUCCUACGGGAGGCAGCAGGUGGGGAAUAUUGGACAAUGGGCGCAAGCCUGAUCCAGCCAUGCCGCGUGGGUGAUGAAGGCCCUAGGGUUGUAAACCUCUUUCAGCUCCGACGAAGCGAGAGUGAC